UAUUGCUCGCCUUGGUAUUCAACAGCUCACUAUCAAAAGACAUAUAGUGAGAGUUUUCAUCCACCUGAUGAUAGUCGGUAUUGGCCUGAAUAUAAUGGACCACGUAUAAUUCCACCUCAGUACCGGAGACAAGCAGGUCGACCACGAUCUGUGCGAAUUAGGGGAACCAUGGAUCAAGGGCGAGAAGGAGUGGUCAAGCACAAAAAAUGUAGUCUUUGCAAACAACCGGGACAUACUCGACCUCGUUGUCCAUCUAGACACAAUAGAUAGCAACUAAUUGGUUUGUACACCAUGGAUCCUGGGCCGGUUAGUGAUGAGGUCUUAUAUGACCAGGCUCAGCAUCGUUCACAUAUUAUAUCCUGUACAGAGAGAGGUCCGAGUAUCGUUAUGGUUGAU